CUCAGUCGCGGUUUGCUACCGGAGGGGGUGGUGCUGGGGCGUUCUUGGCGGCGUCGCUCCUGUUUGGAUCCGUGGCCUCGGGGACUAACGAGCGCUUGUGUUUUGUCCGGGAAGGGCGCCAACCGGAACCACCUCGUUUCCUCGGCUCUCUCGCCCAGGGAGGAUUUACCGUCUGUGGCCGCCGCAACCGCGUCCUGCUUGGCUUUCUUCCCGGCGUGUCGAAGCGAGUCGUCCGGUGGUCCCCCCCCCAGCAGGGCAGGCGGGCGGGCCAUGGAGGAAAAGUACCUGCCCGAGUUGAUGGCGGAGAAGGACUCCCUGGAUCCGUCCUUCACCCACGCGCUGCGACUGGUCAACCAAGAAAUCGAUAAGUUCCAGAAAGGAGAAGGCAAAGAAGAAGAAAAGUACAUCGAUGUAGUGAUUAACAAAAACAUGAAACUGGGGCAAAAAGUAUUAAUUCCAGUAAAGCAAUUUCCUAAGUUCAACUUCGUGGGGAAACUUUUGGGCCCGCGUGGCAAUUCUCUGAAGCGCUUGCAAGAGGAGACAUUGACAAAAAUGUCAAUAUUGGGAAAAGGAUCCAUGAGGGAUAAAGCAAAGGAAGAAGAGUUGAGGAAAAGCGGAGAAGCAAAGUACUUCCAUCUAAACGAUGAUCUGCACGUUCUCAUCGAAGUGUUUGCCCCACCAGCUGACGCCUAUGCCAGAAUGGGACACGCACUGGAAGAAAUCAAGAAAUUUCUCAUUCCUGACUACAAUGAUGAAAUCCGACAAGCACAGUUGCAGGAAUUAACUUACUUGAACGGCGGCUCAGAAAACGCCGAAGUUCCGGUAGUCCGUGGAAAACCUCCUUUAAGGGCACGAGGAGGCUUAUCUCCUGCUUUGGCAAGGGCCCGUGGGGGUGUGCUGCCACCACCCUCCAGCAUUCCAAGAGGGGCCCCAGCACCCCGGGGAGUCCCCUCGGGCAGAGGUCCCGUCAGCCGUGGUCGUAGCCUUAUCACUCCCAGAGCAAGAGGAGUCCCGCCAUCAGCAGGUUACCGACCUCUCCCGCCACUCCCGGCACAAGACACCUACGGGGAAUACGAAUACGAUGAUGGAUACGGCACUUCGUAUGAUGAACAGAGCUACGAUUCCUAUGAUAACAGCUAUAGCACUUCGGCACAAAGUGGUGGCGAUUACUAUGACUAUGCCCAUGGCUUGAACGACGAGACGUACGAUUCUUACAGACAGGAAGACUGGACCAACUCAAGACACAAGGUUCCUUCAGCAAGAUCAUCAAAAGGAAGCUACAGAGAGCAGCCAUAUGCAAGAUACUGAUUAUUCUGUCCGAUGUUGUGAAUUGCCCAAACUCCACCAGUCCUGUAAACUGUUCAAAGAGUCAAAUGGAACGUAUGGAGACCAAAGAGACCUGUUUCUCUUGAUACUUUGGGAUUUCAUGAUGGAUAUGGACAGCUUCAAAAUCCUUCCUUCACCAACGUGCCUCCAAAACUAUAGCCAGUUCGUAGAUGAAACAACAGUACAAUUUUUAUGUUGCGCCUCUCUCUCUUUUUCUCUUUCUCCCUCUUUCUCUUUCUUUCUCUCUUUUUUUUUUUUGUCCUAAACUUUGUAACACAAAAUAGCUUUUCUGGAUCUUUGUUUUAACUCCAAAGUGUUUCAUCACUUAUUAUUGUAACUUCGAACAGAUGUAAAUAAACAGUGGGGUUUUUUUGUAA